GUCUCUUUGAGUUUUUUUAAUGAAGAGUUGGGCCUGCUCGGUGAUUAAUAUYUAACRSCUGCGGUAUUAUAACUGUACUAAGGUAGCAUAAUAAUUUGCUCYAUAAAUUGGGGCUAGAAUGAAUGGUUUGACGAGAAUUUAACUGUCUCUAUUUUAUUUAUUAGAAAUUAAUUUUUAUAGUGAAAAAGCUUUAAUUAUUUAAAGGGACGAAAAGACCCUAUUGAGCUUUUGUUAUUAUAUAGAUAUAUAUAUAUAUAUAUAUAUAUAUGUAUAUAUAUAUGAUUUAUUUGUAAAUAACUUUGGUUGGGGUGAUCAAGGRAUAAAAAUUAAUUUAAAGGGUUUUAUUAACUUCCUUAAUUUUAAAUUUAGUUGAAGAAUAAACCAAGKUUUUUGCUUAGAAGAUAAGUUACCAUAGGGAUAACAGGGGUAAUUUUUUUUGAGAGUUCAUAUUGAAAAAAGAGAUUGCGCCUCGAUGUUGGAUUAAAAUUGACCUUAAGGKGUAGAGGCUUUAUUAGGUAAAUCUGUUCGAUUUUUAAAAUUUUAC
rnacentral:rRNA from 1 species